GAUGAACGCUAGCGGCAGGCUUAACACAUGCAAGUCGAGGGGUAACAUAGAAAAGCUUGCUUUUCUGAUGACGACCGGCGCACGGGUGCGUAACGCGUAUACAACCUACCUUUUAGCGGGGAAUAGCCCAGGGAAACUUGGAUUAAUGCCCCAUAGUAUAUAGACUUCUCCUGAAGUUUAUAUUAAACAUUUAUGGCCAUUAGAUGGGUAUGCGUCCUAUUAGCUAGUUGGUGUGGUAACGGCACACCAAGGCUACUAUAGGUAGGGGUCCUGAGAGGGAGAUCCCCACACUGGUACUGAGACACGGACCAGACUCCUACGGGAGGCAGCAGUGAGGAAUAUUGGACAAUGGGCGGGAGCCUGAUCCAGCCAUGCCGCGUGCAGGAAGACUGCCCUAUGGGUUGUAAACUGCUUUUACAGAGGAAGAACCACCCCCACGUGUGGGGGUUUGACGGUACUCUGCGAAUAAGGAUCGGCUAACUCCGUG
rnacentral:rRNA from 1 species